CAGCAGCCACGGUAAUACGUAGGGUGCGAGCGUUAAUCGGAUUUACUGGGCGUAAAGCGUGCGCAGGCGGUGAUGUAAGACCGAUGUGAAAUCCCCGGGCUCAACCUGGGAACUGCAUUGGUGACUGCAUCGCUGGAGUAUGGCAGAGGGGGGUGGAAUUCCACGUGUAGCAGUGAAAUGCGUAGAGAUGUGGAUGAACACCGAUGGCGAAGGCAGCCCCCUGGGCCAAUACUGACGCUCAUGCGCGAAAGCGUGGGGAGCAAACAGGAUUAGAGACCCGCGUAGUCCCUGUCUCUUAUAA
rnacentral:rRNA from 1 species